GAACAUGUAUUUAUGAAAUGCUGGGAUUUUUCAACGAUCCACUGAAGGUUGGUUUGCUUUUAUGAUGAUUCCAAAACACUUUAAACCCAUUCCCUUAAAUUUCGUGAUGUUCUCCAAAGAAAAGCACCUCCUCAAUCGUCAUUAUACCACCCCUCGAUCUCGUUCUUCAAAGUCAUGGUUAACUUUUUCCAAAAAAAAUACGAGAGAAUCAAUCCAAGAUUUGUCGACCAUCGCCAUGGCGGAACACAAUCUUCAAAACGAAAUUGUAGGUGAAGGAGAUGAAGUGUUUGCUAUCUUUCAGCGUCCAACAGAACACUGGAUCGUCUACAAUGAUGUGGCUGCGUUAUUCAAUCAGCACUUCAAUGGUACUCCUUUCAAUUGGACAUGUGUCCCCUUUUGUGGAAGGUUUGUUCGUGUAUCUGGAUACCAAUUUUGUAGAUCGGUAUGAUUGGAUUCAUGUGCAAUAACAUAGGAGGCUUAAUGUAAAUCCAAGAAUUUAGGGCCCGACAUCGGUUACACGUUUGCUGUGUUCGACACAGCAGAGGGUAGGUUCAUGAGGAGAACACACCACCACGGAUUGACCAGAAAUGUAGCUAUCGUUCACUACCGGGUUGUUCCACCUGCGGUUCUCGUCCGCCAAAGAUGAAGCGGCGGAGGCGGAAGAAGUCGGUGAGGAUCCUGUGGUGGAGGAAGAUUUGGAAGUGGCUGAAGGAAGGGAAGUUGAAGGUUCAGAGUCAGAAGGUGAAAUCUGAGUCUGAGGCUGAUGAUCGGGAUAAACAUCCCGACUACAACCCGUACCAACAUGGCUUAGUCGCUUUGGCUAACUUUCUUUCAACUCCACAUGCUGCUAGCGUGCAGGAACAUGUUCUUAUCAGAAAAGUGAUUGAACUACAUGAUAAAUACAUCGUCUAUGAAAUUGGCGCUCAGUGCUCUCAGUUCGUGAAGCGGAGGCUCUGUGAGAAUCUUCUUAGGCAUGGGAGGUUUCGUGAAGACGCUGCAAAGGCUUGUAACACGGCCUUCUUGAGCACGAACUCUCAGUUACAUGUUGAUGUGGUGGAUGAUAGUAUGAGUUGGACAACGGCUAUUAUGGUUAUGGUUAGAGGGAGGACGAUCUACGUGGCGAAUGCUGGUGACUCGAACGGGAGUUUUGGCUGAGAAGAGGGAUGGUGAUCUUGUGGCUGUUGAUUUUUCUAUUGACCAGACUCCAUUUAGAGCUGAUGAGCUUGAAAGGGUGAAGCUUUGUGGACUUAGAGUUCUUACUCUUGAUCAGAUUGAAAGUUUGAAGAAUCCUGAUGUUCAGUGUUAGGGUACUGAGGAGGAUGAUGAUGGAGACCCUUUGACUCCGAGGCUUUGGGUUCCCAAUGUGAUGUAUCCGGGAACUGCGUUUACGAGGAGUAUUGGUGAUUCUAUUGCGGAGACGAUUGGGGUUGUUGCUAAUCUUGAGAAUUAAUGUUGUUGAGCUCAAGCCGGAUAAUCCUUUCUUCCAGAACCACACCCUCUUCCACAAGGCUCUGAAAGAGGCAUUUGAGAUAUUCUGUAACAAAACCGUCGCUGGAAGUUCAAGUGCAGAAUUGCUUGCAGCAUUAUGCGCCAAUAUCCUUAAGAAGAGGGGUAGUGAGAAAUGGGGUCCACAGCUGGACCAAGCAACCUACAAGAAUCGCCAGCAUCUAUAUCUCUCUGAACAAACUGAUGGCAAUGUGCCCAACACUCUUGUCAUAGCCAAUUGUGAAGUUGUUAAGCCAAGAGUCGCUGCAGCUGAGCACAUAUCUCAGUUCAAUGAAAAACACGUUCUCCAUUUGUGAAGAAGUACAAGACCUCAUCAUUCACUCUGGAGAGGUUAACAGAAUCAGGGAACUCUCGCAAAACAGUAAGAUCAUUUCUACUCACACCAAUAGCCCUGAUGUAAGCACUCCUUCUUCCAUUUCGUUGUGGCCAAAGCAACUUGAAAAAUGUUCUCAUUUGGGUUGUCGAUUUACACUAGAAUGCGCCGGACCCUUGGACUAUUGUCAGUGUUUCUGAUGACUGUGAGAACUGGUGGAGGUGGAACAUUGCAGUGGAGUCUAGCUGAAGCCAAUUUAGUUUCCAAAUGCAAUAAACUUUAGCACCGGAAAUUAUGCUGCAAGCUAAACAAAAUAUCAUCUCUAAUGAUAUUCUCAAUUCAUUAGUCGACACAUCCGCUUUUCGUUUUCAUAUGCUUUUGGUGUUCUAUUUUUUCAACGAAUUAGUGUUUUAAUUUAAAUGUCAUGUUUGUGAUCUUAUGCAGGUCUAAUAGAGACUGGGAUGAUGGCUACAAUCAAAAGAGAUUUUGUGACUUAUAUGUGAGAAACUUUUUUUUUUUUUGUUAGUUAUUUGUUUGCCUAAUUGUUUGCUUAAUUUAAUUGUGUUAUCGUGUUAAUGUAAAUGUCAUGUCUGUUAGUAACCACAUUUACAAAGUGAAUUGUGUCCGCUCACAUAACAAGGAACAAGAAGAGGUUACAGCUUAA